GAUGAACGCUGGCGGCGUGCCUAACACAUGCAAGUCGAGCGAGAAGCUUUUGAAUGACGCUUCGGUAGAUUUCAGAAGUGGAAAGCGGCGGACGGGUGAGUAACGCGUAGGCAACCUGCCCUUUGCAGAGGGAUAGCCUCGGGAAACCGGGAUUAAAACCUCAUAAUACCGGGACAAGACAUCUUGACCCGGUCAAAGAUUUAUCGGCAGAGGAUGGGCCUGCGUCUGAUUAGUUAGUUGGUGGGGUAACGGCCUACCAAGGCGACGAUCAGUAGCCGACCUGAGAGGGUGAUCGGGCCACAUUGGGAACUGAGACACGGGUCCAAACUCCUACGGGAGGCAGCAGUGGGGAAUAUUGCACAAUGGGGGAAACCCUGAUGCAGCAACGCCGCGUGAA
rnacentral:rRNA from 1 species